AUUGAACGCUGGCGGCAGGCCUAACACAUGCAAGUCGAGCGGAUGAAGGGAGCUUGCUCCUGGAUUCAGCGGCGGACGGGUGAGUAAUGCCUAGGAAUCUGCCUGGUAGUGGGGGAUAACGUCCGGAAACGGGCGCUAAUACCGCAUACGUCCUGAGGGAGAAAGUGGGGGAUCUUCGGACCUCACGCUAUCAGAUGAGCCUAGGUCGGAUUAGCUAGUUGGUGGGGUAAAGGCCUACCAAGGCGACGAUCCGUAACUGGUCUGAGAGGAUGAUCAGUCACACUGGAACUGAGACACGGUCCAGACUCCUACGGGAGGCAGCAGUGGGGAAUAUUGGACAAUGGGCGAAAGCCUGAUCCAGCCAUGCCGCGUGUGUGAAGAAGGUCUUCGGAUUGUAAAGCACUUUAAGUUGGGAAGAAAGGCAGUAAGUUAAUACCUUGCUGUUUUGACGUUACCAACAGAAUAAGCACCGGCUAACUUCGUG
rnacentral:rRNA from 1 species